GUAGGGAAUAUUGGGCAAUGGUCGGAAGACUGACCCAGCCAUGCCGCGUGCAGGAAGACGGCCCUCUGGGUUGUAAACUGCUUUUAUCUGGGAAGAAAAAGGCCAUGCGUGGCAAAUUGCCGGUACCAGAUGAAUAAGCACCGGCUAACUCCGUGCCAGCAGCCGCGGUAAUACGGAGGGUGCGAGCGUUGUCCGGAUUUAUUGGGUUUAAAGGGUGCGUAGGCGGCUGAUUAAGUCAGCGGUGAAAGACUUCGGCUUAACCGGAGCAGUGCCGUUGAUACUGGUUGGCUUGAGUGUCGGAGGGGUACAUGGAAUUGAUGGUGUAGCGGUGAAAUGCAUAGAUACCAUCAGGAACACCGAUAGCGAAGGCAUUGUACUGGCCGACAACUGACGCUGAUGCACGAAAGUGUGGGGAUCGAACAGGAUUAGAUACCCGGGGUAGUCC
rnacentral:rRNA from 1 species